rnacentral:lncRNA from 1 species
CAUUUGCAGAUUCCCUCAGGGGCAGCAGUGAACUCCAUCUCUGAAAAUAGAUGAUUACAAAUUUUCUUUGUGUGCUACUGAAGCACAUAAAUCUCUGUGAGGUUGAUACUGACUGAUUUUUUCCAGCUGAGCUCCAGAGGCUAUUUGCCAAAUACCAUGGAGGAGGCAUCUCCCUGGAAUACCUGAGCGCCCUUGUUCACUGGGAUGGUCACAGCAAGAGACUGAUGCCUCUGCACACCUGCACAUCUGAGAGGCAGAGUUGCCAUUGACCCUUCCUUGAAAUGCCUUGAGGCCAGAAACACUGAGGGCAUCUUAUUUACACUUAACUCCAUCUUGUGAAAAAAAUGGAGCAGCAAAACUAAUAGCCCAGAUUUGGACCCCAGGAUGACAAGCUCCAAGAUGGUGGAUAAUUUUCCUUCUUGACC